rnacentral:lncRNA from 1 species
UUGGUAUUUGUUCUAGAACUUCAACAUUUGACACAGUUUUAAGUAUUUUUAUAUACUCUCCUUAAGUUAGACAUCGAUAUAUACAUUUAUGUAUGGUUUCUAACCUUUUUCUAUAAAAAUUUAGGUGUUUGCAUGGAGAUAACAAGUAUUCAUUAAAUGUUUUAUACAAAAUAUUGCAUUUCAUUGUCAGUAGAAUAUCUAAGAGUGCCUUCUUUUCUCCCUUCCCUGCUUUCCUUUGUCUCUUUCUAAUUUACUUUUUCCCACCACCUUUCCUUACCUUGGCCUCUUGUAGCAAAUAGUUACAUAUUCUCCAAAAUAUAAAAACGCACAGGGAUAAUUGGUAUCUGGGAAACACCAUGUAAGUUCUUGCCUCCUAGGAAACUAGCUCUCGGGGUGGCUACAGACCUUUGUGGUUUCCAUGAAGAAUUGCUGCUGAGGUGAUUCAUCUGUAUGCACCACUAAAAAUAUUUUUACCAUUGAUUUUCCUGCAGCAUUGAUCUACCACCUGACGCCAUCAAUAAUGAGGUUUGUCGGCUGAUUUCUCAACCUGUCUGGAAUUUUUCUUAUGCCUUUUUCUUUUUCUUCUGCAGGAAGGGAAACUGUUACUUCAGUAGGAAAAUUCUUCUACCUUGAACUUGAGAGCUUGCAACCUACCCCCGAGUCUUCCUUUCAGGCCUGCUUCUUUUUGUCUCGCCUCUCACUUUGUUAUGUGAUAGAAAAUCUUCCAUAGUCUUGAGAAUCAUGAUUUUUUUUUUAAGUUUGAUAUGCACAGAACACAAAUUAAAUGUAACAAUUAUUUGUGGUAAGCCACUUUCCUGAUGCUGGAAGAAUGAUUUUUCUUUGCUUCUGAUAAAAAUCCAAAGUCAUUGAAAAAGCUGAUUCAACUAAGUCUUCAGUGAAAAACCAGUUCUGUAAACUCUGCCAUGCUCAUUUACUGAAGUUAUCCCAUGUUUGGCCCGAAUAUGAAAAUUUUUUGAAACAUAAACUUACUUCACUGUGUUUAAAGGCAAGAAUAUGGAAUAAAAGCAGAGAGUGUUAAGCCAGCAUUCCCAGGUCACUUGUAAAGAUGAGCAUGCAUAGACCCUUCUGUCAAGAC